UAAGUAUAGAAGAAAAGUACAACUCGACAUAAUUUUCAAGAAUUUCUUUUCUGUUUGAAAGUGUCUAUUCAAAACAUUUGAGGGGAUUUGCACCAAUUCCAUGAACUGAGUUAUGCUAGAGAUAAAUAAUUUAAAGCAAUGAAAUUUUCUUUCAAGAUAAUUUUAGCAACUUUUUUCUUUUUCAGGCUUGGCUUUACAAGAUGCAUUUCUUUUUUUGAUUUUCUUUCUAGGGGUUUUCUUCAGAUCUUUCUGAUAUAACCUUUUAACCUUGUGAGCUUUUUUUAAAGAAUACUUUUUCGUUAGUUUUCUUUCUUAUAGAAAAUUUAUUUUGGAUUUUAUGGUUAGAACACAUGGUGAGUUUUUCAACAUAUCAGUUUAACAUAUGUUUGAUCUCAUAUUAGCUGCUAUUUUCCUAUUCCUUGAAAGUAAAAAAUCGUUAAUCGUGGAAUCUGAGCAGCUGCAACGCGUCAGUUUUUUUCAAGUUUUUGGAUGUUUUUUCUCUUAUUUUUAAAAGAAAUGUAAACAUUGCAUACACAAGCUUAUUAGGGCAUUCAGAUGUUAUUUUUCUGGAAGAAUUUGCUUUCUUGUUGUCCUAUACAUUUUUUUGAACCUGCCUAAUAACCUCCUGAAGUAAUGUAUAUUUUUCUUGUAGGCGCUGAUCAAGUCGUUUGGAAUGAUCUUUUUCUAUCUUGGAACAUUUUAUGUAAUUUUCUAGGUUUAUAAAUCUAAGUAAUCGAAAAGAGCUAAUGAAAAACUUUUUUAAGGGUAAGUUCUUAUAUAAUUCUUUUUUUAUCUUAAACCAAUUCAAAUUCAAUCUGUUAGCUAAAUUGUUUUUUAAAACAAUUGCUUUGUUUGAACUGAAAGGGCAUCAAGAAUUAUGUGAUAGCACCAAAUCUGCAACGUUGGAAAAAACUUUUUAACACCCUUUAUUUGAAAGAAUAUCUGAAAUUUCGUAAGCCGGAUGCAAAAAUUUUGCUAUUAUUUAACUGUUGUGAACAUAUUGCAGAUGAGACUAACACAUUCAAGCAAAAAAGAACGCAGCCUUUAUGGCACAAAUUGAUGAAAAGGAAACACAACUUUAGAAUCCAUUGAAUGUAAGUCGCUAUGAAAUUAUUUGAAUACCAUUUUAUGUAAUCUUUUAGAGCAAAAUACAUGGCUGAUUGUUUAAUUUUUCUUUCUUUUCAGGAAUGGUUUUUAUACAAGGCGAUUUUAUGCUUCCUUCCAGAUCUUUUUAAAGGAAAUUUGGCCACCCACAUUUUGCCACAUUUGCCAGAUAUAACUAUUCUUUUAUAUUUCAGAACAAAACAUCGAUCAAAUAACAAUGCAAAUUAAAAAUUGGUUAGUGAAAUUUUAUGGAAAUUGUUAUUACAGGAAGUGUUUGUAAUUGAAGUAAUAAAAACAUGCAAUAAAUCUAUAUAUAAGUUGGCUUUCACAUUUAAUUUAUUUUUAUUAUUUUAGGUUAAGUGCUACAUAUGGAAGAUAUAUAUUUGCGAAAAGUAUUCCAUUUUAGAGGUUUCGUUUUCACGUAUAUUUGAUUGUAUCACUUUUCCUUGAAAUCUUUUUGAAUAAUGAUUUUUUAUUACAGUUUUAUCUUAUAGAAAAACGUUCUUUGGAUUAGAUAGUUUGAACACCUGAUGAGUUUCCAGCUUAUGUAAGGCACAACUUUAAAGGCUGCGUUUGCUUUUGUUUUCUUGCUGAUAAAUGGACAAUUAAUUAGCAUCUUAUAGGAAUAUACAACACAGCCUAGAUGUUGAAAAUUGACGAGGAAGAAGACUUAGCAGCCAAAAUGUUGAUUGGAUUGGGUGGACACAACCUAGAAGUUACGUAUUGAUGGAAACAAAACUAGACAGCAAUAAAAUCGAUUCAACGUAAGUUGUUACAAAAUUAUAUCCUUUACAUUUUUAAAGGUUUAGCUUAAAUGCGCUUUUGUAAAUCUGAUUGCUGCUUUUUUUUCUUUUCAGGUAUUUUGGUCACAUAAGACGAUUUAAUAUAUACUUUUCACCUUAUUUCAAGGGCACUUUGAGACGUCAACAAUAUAUUUUAUCGACAAAUAAAGCCGUUUCUAGAUAUCCAAGACUUUAUUUUUCAGAGUAGACGCGUGAUUUCCAAGAUUCGUACAUAUUUUUUUAAGAAACUAUAUCCAGAAUUCGGGUCCCUCUUUACUGAAAUGUUAAUAUGAUCAAAAUUGUAGUUGUUUUUCAAGAAAACUUCCUAAGCGAUGUGCCCCAUUAAAUGAAUGAGUAAACAUUGUCUGCCCUUUGUUAAUUACGAAUAGGUUUUUGGAUCAUGAAGCAUGUGUUUUAAUUCCAACCCUAAACAUGAUUAUGUGAUGACAACCAAAAAGGUGCAGGUCAUUUUUGGAUUGUUUUUGUUUUCUUCAAACCAAAGAUUCAGAAGAGGCUGAAACUCAAGAAGGUAAACCUUAUGCGAGGGAUUAUAUUUUGCGAGUUGCGAGUUGUCAGUUGCGAGUUGAUUUUUCAUCAUGACAGUUCAUUCUUUUUACCCCAAUUAUACCUCCUUGUGCGCAAAGAAAUUCAGUUGCUCAGACGAAAGGGCACAUCAGUGGAAGGAGCUGAUGCUGAAUGCAAUGUCCGAGAGGGAGAAAGCCGAACAAGAGAAACAGGAUUUACAAGUUAAAGUCCAGAAACUUGAAGAAAUGUGCAGAAGAAAAGAGAAAUUUCUUCAGGAACUAAAGCAGAUAUUUGAAAAAUCAGACAUCGUUUUUGCCGGUGCACAUAAAAGGCGCACAGGAGAAGGGUCAGUACUGUGUUUUGGACAUACCACAUUGUACUUUUUUUGUACGCUUUGCUAUGGAUCAAAGCAUUACACUUUUGAUCUGACAUUUCGUCACCUGCCCUUUCGUCACCUGACGUUUC